AUUCGAUUAACGCGAAGAACCUUACCUGGCCUUGACAUCCAGAGAACUUAGUAGAGAUGCUUUGGUGCCUUCGGGAACUCUGAGACAGGUGCUGCAUGGCUGUCGUCAGCUCGUGUUGUGAAAUGUUGGGUUAAGUCCCGCAACGAGCGCAACCCUUAUCCUUUGUUGCCAGCGGCUCGGCCGGGAACUCAAAGGAGACUGCCGGUGAUAAACCGGAGGAAGGUGGGGAUGACGUCAAGUCAUCAUGGCCCUUACGGCCAGGGCUACACACGUGCUACAAUGGCGCAUACAAAGAGAAGCGACCUCGCGAGAGCAAGCGGACCUCAUAAAGUGCGUGUAGUCCGGAUUGGAGUCUGCAACUCGACUCCAUGAAGUCGGAAUCGCUAGUAAUCGUAGAUC
rnacentral:rRNA from 1 species